AAUAGCUUUUGUCAAGAAGUUGGCUAGUCUCUAUGUGGUUCUGCUCCACAAUUAAAGAUGUAGAAAUAUGUCUUGUUCCAUGGCCUAUGCCAUUGUUUCUAACUCAUAGUGGACAGAAGACAUCCCUUGUGUUGAUGGUAUGGUAAUGUAUAUUAGUAUGAUCUUAGAAAGAAAGUUUUUUUUUUUUUUGCAAAUACUUAGAAAGAAAGUUAUACAUGUUGUUAUUGUUAGGAAGUAAAAGUUUCGAAGGAGACAUUGUGAUGGAUGGUUUUUUCUUCGAGUCACAGUCUUUCGUUUAUUUUAUUCUCAAUUGCGGCAAAUGUCAUUGUGACUUUCGUACUUGUUCCUCAGUAGUUCGGUAUCACAUCUGAGUCAAGCGCACAUCCUGGUGCCGAUUGUGGGUCUCUUGAUCUCUUUUGGUAGUGUUGCUAGACUGGUGUUUUUCUGUGCAGGUCGUUAGAGGCUCUUUAAGUUCGCGUGUGGUGUCGAUUUCAAGCCCGACCUUGGCGAUGGUGGCGAGUUUGGUCUCUCAGGUCACGGCACAGUGGUUAGUUUUCUUAAUCCACUUUCUCCAUUAGUUGUCUUGCUUUUCAAUGCAGGUGAAGACUAUAAGUUUAGACAAGUUCAUCGGGAACCAGUUACUCUAGAGGCGACAUGGGAAGUCUCGGCAUCCGAGGCAACGAGGUGAAUCUCACCUUCCUGUAGUUUUCGUCGAUGGCUGAAAACGGCAACCAGUACUCAAUGAUCUAGGAUUCGGACUAGCGGAACGUACCGGGGUGAUGG
rnacentral:lncRNA from 1 species